UGUCAGAGAGCCAAACACGCCAUCCUCAGAACAAGCUAACAUCACCAUUUUCAGAACAGGUGUCUCAUGAAGACUGUUGCUUAGCAGCACCUGGGCAGAAGGACCAUUGCCCCACUUUUUUCUUGUCUGCAAUUACCUUUCCCCACGCUCCCCACCCGCGCUCAGCUCUACCCCGUCGAUAUCCUGAGCCCCUCCCCUUCCGGGAGGCCGAUUUGAGAUCUAGUCUCCGUCUCCUGGCUUGGUCGCCUCCUGAAAAAACCUUCUGCUACAAACGUCGGCAUCUCAGCGUUCGGCUUGUGGCUUGCCGCCAAUCGGCUGAACGAGCCAGCUUAGGUCCCAGGCCCCUCCUUUCACUGCUGAGCUCAGCAGCAGCGGGUGGGCGCCCCGGCAGGACUGGGAGCAAGGCUGUGACGUCGCCCAGCCUCUGCAGUGAACCCAGCAAGGGUCUGUGGCUCCCUGGCCCCACAAGGGGCUCAAGGUCACACACCCGGCCGUGGUGGUGGUGCCAAGGGUCCAGCGCUCCAUCUGGGUGCAGGGCUGACAUCUGCAGAAGGACCUCCAGGGCCGCCUCCGGGGUGGCUGCCCAGCCGGACUCCUCUGCUGCUUGUGUCAGUGGUGUCACCUGGUGGCAUCCGCACGCCUGGCUUCCGGCACCUAGCUCUGCCUCGACCUGACGCCCCAGCAGGGCCCCACCAGGAGCUAAGCGUCUCCAGGGCCAGCAUGGUGGUGCCCCACCCCCUCUCCUCCCCGGUAUGAAUCUCUCUGCCUUCUAGCUGUGUGAUCUUGGGCUCAGGCUCCACUUUCGCUAAGUGGGCUUCUAACAACCCCAAGGAGCAGAUAUUUUCUGUAAGUACUAAACAAGAUAGUCUGUGACAAGUUGCUCAGUACUCGACCCUGCUUUCCAAUCUUCACACUCCCCUCAGCCUUUGCCGUCCUUA